AUACUCUGGUUUCUCUUCAGAUUGUGUGACUCUUUUGCCUUUCACUA
rnacentral:snRNA from 1 species